rnacentral:lncRNA from 1 species
AGGAAAAAAAAAAAACUUAAAAUAAUGGUAAGGAAUGGGAGUGGAAUGGUAGAACACUAACCUAGCAUGUAAGAGAUCCCAGGUUCAAUCCCCCUAUAACUGGAGUUAAAGAGCCACCAUGUGAGUGCUAGGAAUCAAACCUGGGUCCUCUAGAAGAGCAGUCAGUACUCUUAACCAGUGAACCAUCUCUCCAGCCCAUGUCUAUGACAUUUUAAAGGAAUAUUUUAGUAAUUUUUUUUUAAGUAGCAAGAACAAACAACUUGAUACUGUUGUAAAGCUACUGCAGAAUUGAAGUAUCUAUCAGUAGUUUGGGGGUCAGAAAUCUAAGGACUUGAAGAGGAGCUAUUUCGGCUGAACUUUUGCCUCUGCCUACAUAGCCAUUUGCAAAGCUGUACUCUUGUAGAAUUUUUCCUAUCUGAUUGUGUCAAAAUUCCCAAUAAUGUUCAAUUGGCAAAUAGAUGACAUCAUGAACGCAGGACAUCUCAGCAAGGAGCGAGAACAAAGUAUCUCAUGAAGAUGAAAUGUUUC